rnacentral:lncRNA from 1 species
ACAAGUUUUGCAGGCACAAACCGGUCACAAAAACAAAGGUGUAGGAGGCUGAAAUAGAAAAAAAAGAAGGAAAGACAAGUGGAGAGUUAGAAGAGAAAAGUUAAAUGCUACAAGUUAUGUCACUAUUACUAGACCCGAAAUCAGAUUUGUGAUGAUCAAAGUUUGUCAAUGGCGAAACCACUAUAUUCUCAUUGGAUUGUAGUUAAAUGCAUACCUGGUACCUUAAAGGUAGUUUAUUCCAUGGACUACAUUUUUAGCUUGCAUUUCUUGCCCAACCUUUGCCACUGAAAGUCAUUUGUGAUGCUAAUUGUACAUUUGAUAUUAAUGAUAGAUAUUCUACUUCAGGAACAACCAUCUUUCUUGGGCACAAUUUAAUAUCUUAGUGGUCCCGCAAGCAAC